UGCAGUCGAGCGGACCGACGGGAGCUUGCUCCCUUAGGUCAGCGGCGGACGGGUGAGUAACACGUGGGUAACCUGCCUGUAAGACUGGGAUAACUCCGGGAAACCGGGGCUAAUACCGGAUGCUUGAUUGAACCGCAUGGUUCAAUCAUAAAAGGCGGCUUCGGCUGCCGUUUACAGAUGGACCCGCGGCGCAUUAGCUAGUUGGUGAGGUAACGGCUCACCAAGGCGACGAUGCGUAGCCGACCUGAGAGGGUGAUCGGCCACACUGGGACUGAGACACGGCCCAGACUCCUACGGGAGGCAGCAGUAGGGAAUCUUCCGCAAUGGACGAGAGUCUGACGGAGCAACGCCGCGUGAGUGAUGAAGGUUUUCGGAUCGUAGAGCUCUGUUGUUAGGGAAGAACAAGUACCGUUCGAAUAGGGCGGUACCUUGACGGUACCUAACCAGAAAGCCACGGCUAACUACGUGCCAGCAGCCGCGGUAAUACGUAGGUGGGCAGCGUUGUCCGGAAUUAUUGGGCGUAGAGCGCGCGCAGGCGGUUUCUU
rnacentral:rRNA from 1 species